rnacentral:tRNA from 1 species
GGGAGUAUAGCUAAAGUGACAGAGCAUCUGUCUAGCAAGUACAGAGUUCCUGAGUUCAAACCUCAGUACUGCUG